AGAGUUUGAUCCUGGCUCAGAACGAACGCUGGCGGCGUGGAUUAGGCAUGCAAGUCGAGCGCGAAAGUCGCCUUCGGGUGGCGAGUAGAGCGGCGAACUGGUGAGUACAAGGUGGGUAACGUGCCCGGACGUGGGGGAUAACUUCGAGAAAUUGAAGCUAAUACCGCAUGUCGUCCGAAUCCCUCGGGAUUUGGAAGAAAGGUGCAUCGACUUCGGUCGGUGUGCCGCGUCCGGAUCGGCCCGCCUCCCAUUAGCUUGUUGGUGGGGUAAUGGCCUACCAAGGCAACGAUGGGUAGCUGGCCUGAGAGGGUGGUCAGCCACACUGGGACUGAGAUACGGCCCAGACUCCUACGUGGGGCAGCAGUCUAGAGGCAUCCACAAUGGACGAAAGUCAGAUGGUGCGACGCCGCGUGUGGGAUGACGGUCUUCGGAUUGUAGACCACUGUCGCGAGGGAAUAAGGCCGGAGAGGAGCCCCUUUCCGGAUUGAAGGUACCUCGUAAGAAAGCACCGGCUAACUCCGUGCCAGCAGCCGCGGUAACACGGAGGGUGCGAGCGUUGUUCGGAAUUAUUGGGCGUAAAGGGCGCGUAGGCGGAUUGGUCAGUCUCUUGGUGAAAUCUUCACCGCUUAACGGGAAAAUUGCCGGAGAUACUACCAGUCUUGAGAGCGGUAGAGGUGAGUGGAAUUCCAGGUGUAACGGUGGAAUGUUUAGAUAUCUGGAAGAACACCAGUGGCGAAGGCGACUCACUGGACCGUAUCUGACGCUGAGGCGCGAAAAGCCAGGGGAGCGAACGGGAUUAGAUACCCCGGUAGUCCUGGCCGUAAACGGUGAACACUAGGUGUAGGAGGUAUCGACCCCUUCUGUGCCGCCGCUAACGCAUUAAGUGUUCCGCCUGGGGAGUACGACCGCAAGGUUGAAACUCAAAGGAAUUGACGGGGGCCCGCACAAGCGGUGGAGCAUGUGGUUUAAUUCGAUGCAACGCGAAGAACCUUACCCGGGCUCAAACCGGGGGGAAAAGCAGCCGAAAGGCUGUGUGCUUUCGGGCGUCCCUCGGAGGUGCUGCAUGGCUGUCGUCAGCUCGUGUCGUGAGAUGUUGGGUUAAGUCCCGCAACGAGCGCAACCCUUGUCUUUAGUUACCAGCGCGUCAUGGCGGGGACUCUAGAGAGACUGCCCUCGCAAGGGGGAGGAAGGUGGGGAUGACGUCAAGUCCUCAUGGCCCUUACGUCCGGGGCUACACACGUGCUACAAUGGCCGGUACAACGAGUCGCGAGACCGUGAGGUGGAGCUAACCUCUAAAAGCCGGCCCCAGUUCGGAUUGGGGUCUGCAAUUCGACUCCAUGAAGUCGGAAUCGCUAGUAAUCCCGUAUCAGCUACGACGGGGUGAAUACGUUCCCGGGCCUUGUACACACCGCCCGUCACACCACGGAAAUCGGUUUCUCCUGAAGUCGGUGUACCAACCUCGUAAGAGGAGGAAGCUGCCGAUGGAGAGAUUGGUAACUGGGGUGAAGUCGUAACAAGGUA
rnacentral:rRNA from 1 species